GCCUCGGGAACGCCGAACAGACGCCGGAGUAUUUCCCUCUUACGGCCACGGCAUCGAUGUGGAGGAAUCUUGAAAUCGUGGGCUCGCUUCAGUGCGGUUUUUUCAGGCGCGACUUAGCGACCAAUCAUGGACGACAACUUGGGAAAGGAAGACCGCGUUCUCCUCUUCGGCGGGGGCUGCCAUAUGGAGCUGAAGGCGCUCUGCUCUGUAACGCUUUCUGCGGUCGUCUUUCGAUUCAUAGCACACGUCACAGACUAUAUGAACUGGGCGAGUGCUCCAACUUCAGUCACGGCUCGUGGCACACGUCGUGGACCACUGGUUCCAGCAGCUGGACGAGCAAGUUGACCCCUCGUCUUCAUCGUGGCACACAUCAUGGGCUCCGAAUUGGCGAGUAUGCCAGCAUCAGCCAUGGUACCCUCCAUGCACCACUAGUUCUGGCAGCCGGACGAGUGUGGGAACUUCAGCUUUCCGAGUCAUGGCGCCUGUCGGGGACCACUGGUGAUGGCAGCCGGACGAGCACGUUGACCCCUAGUCCCCGUCAUGGCACGCGUCGGGGACUCCGUCAACUCGGCGAGUCUGUAAACCUCAGUCGUGGCGCGCGCAAAGGACCGCUAUUACUGGCAGCCAGAGAAGUGCGGCAGCUUCGUCCUUCAUGUUCACGGCAUACGUCAUUGGCCACUAGCGACGGCAGCCAGACGGACGCGCUGGCACCUCGUCCUCGCCAUAUGGCACACGUCGCGGACUCCGUCAACGUGGCGAGCCUGCCAACCUCAGUCGCGGCACACGCCACUGCAUGGUUACAGCAUCUGGACGAGCGCGCCGAUCUGUGUUCCGAUUCAAGGCUCAGGUCAGCAGCCACGGGAUUCCGGCGCAAAUUUUCGUCUUCCAAGCCGUGGCACAUGACAUAGACCACUGAUUGCGGCAGCAUAUGCGGCAGCCAUUUUCAUUUCAUUUCAUUUAUAUACGAGCAUAUAUAUUACUUUGUCUCUCUC